rnacentral:misc_RNA from 1 species
AUCAAAAGCUUUAAGGAAAGCUCUUUGUUUUUUGAAAGGGUGCUUUUAUGAGAUAGAGAUUUUUUAGAUAAUGCUUUUUAAGGUUAUGCCGGGGAAGGUUUUCCGGUUUAUCUUCGAGGGGUUGUAGCUCACUCGGUUAAAGCGCGCGGUUGAAAAGCGUGAGGUCCCAGGUUCAAGUCCUUCCAGGCCCAUCAAUUGACCUACGCAUUUUCCUUUAUCCUUUUAUUCGCCUAUUUAUCGGUCCAUUGAAUUUAAUUGUUGGUUGCCGUUUUAUAUUGAUGAGAAAUCAUGCUUAUAAAAGAACUCGUUAUAAAAGGAUUGCUUUAAAAAUGGGACGCUUUUCCAUUUCGCUGAGGCAAGAGAAACUUCAAGCGGUUCAAAUUCAAAAGGCUUUAAUGUUUGCAAAUUCUUUGAAUUUUGCAAAACUCUUUGAAUUUUGCAAAACACUUUGAAUUUUAAAGUGAUCCAAGUUCGUGAUCUCGAAUUUAAAUGUUGCGAAUGCUUUAUCCUUUUUUGGGGGCCGUAUUUCAG